CACUUCACUGUCAUGUUAUCUAGAAAUACAUUUUGAAGAAUUUGCUUUGAUUCGUAUUCUACAACAUGGAUUUCUCGGCAUGUAAAUAUUAGCAGCAAUUCCGACAGAACGGUGUUGGGAAAUGUUAACAAUUUCACGGCUGUUAAAUCUCUCCCUAUAUUCAUGGAUUGAGAAGAUUUUAAACCCAGGUCUCAGUACCAGUACAAGUCCGGCAAAGGACGAGUAAACCUUUUAUAGGCUGGGGUUUCCUUGAUUAGUGUAGAGCUACUGUAAUAUUAACUAUUUAUUUAGAGGAGGAGUCAGACAAACAGGGUAUGUUUUUGGUCGCAAGCAAUGUCAUUUAGAGGAAGAGGAGGCGGUGGUGGAAGGUUCGCAGGGAGGAGGACCUAUCAAGCUCCUAUUAAAGAUGAAAAUGGGAAUAUUAAGAAGCCUGAGCCACCUACUCUCUUUCUGGACAUAAAAGCAUUGCCCGUGCUACCAGAGAUUACAAUGAGGGAUGAAGAACUUGUGUCUAAGAGGAGAAAACUUGACCAUUUUUGGGAACUAUCACCUUAUUACAUUGAAAAUGCAAAGGAGAAGACUGUGGGAGUGAUAGCUGAAAUAGAACGAUAUUCUGACAGGUAUAAACCAAAUGUGCGCAUAAAUCGUCCUCCACUUUCUUCUGUUCUAAAGCUUGCUGCAGCAUAUUUUCCUUCAGAGAUAUUAAACCAAGGUUCAAAGCGGGCCCGUGCAUACAAAGGAACAUCACAAUGGACAGUACAACCAGAUGCAGCAGAUCUCCAGAAAUUAGACCGUCUAGAAAAUCUAGAGCAGAAAGCACAACAGAGAAGUGAGAAAGCAGGAGAUAAAGAACCCGAUGAAAAGAAAGAGGGUGAAAACGAAGAUGCUGAAGAAGAGGAGAUAGAGGAUGAAGAGGAAGAUUUAGGAGAUGAUGAUUACAACCAGGUAAUUUUGGGUUCGAUGAUGACGAAGACUAUCUGGAUAUGGAUGAUGGGGGAGACAUUGAAGAAGCAACAUAUUGAGACUUAGCGAGUCUGGAGAUGAGGAUGAUGACAAUAAUUACAUUUUAAGUGAACAACAGGGUUUCUUCUUGAUUCAUGUGGUUGAUUUUGCAAAAGUUGACAGAGGAGCUUAGAAGGAUAUGCUAUCCAGAGAACAAUAUUUGAGCACGUUGAUGGGAAUAACUUAGUGCUAUUAUUGAUUCUGCAGGGGUCUACCAUGAACUUUUCUUGUUCUGUGAUUCAAUGUGGUGUUUCCGGCAAUAAAUUUCAAAUUAUUUUGUACUUAUAGGUUCUUUCAUUAAAAAAAUAAAUGUAAACAUGAACAGCUAUAACUGCUGAACUAAAAAUUAGUCUGGACAAAUAAAGGAAACUGAAUUUUCUUUGUAAAGAAAAAGCCAAAAAGACAAUAAUUCCCAAUGAUAUUAUUUGCUAACUGAUCACUCGGUUAAUACCGGACAGUUUAUAAACUGAGAAGAAGGAACAGUUUCAACACUCUUCUUAUAUUCUGGUCAAUCAAUUUUACGUGUGCUGAUGGUAAACAAUUUCAUACUUGGACAGUCAAA